rnacentral:misc_RNA from 1 species
UGCAGCAGCUGAGUUAUCCAAGGUGUGUCAUUGGAUAUCAAAAGCAUCACAUGCUCUAUGCUCAUUUCCAAAAUCAUUUUCGGCAUGCUUUGGAGUUUGGGUGGAAUGAAAUUUAGUCUUAAUCUAUGGAUAAGAAAGAAAGGAAAGCAAAAGUAAAUUGUUUUAAUUGCCAUUUUCAAAUGAUAUUUAAUACUCAUGCUUGAGGGAAAAGCAUAGAAUGGACAACUGAUAUUGUUAUUUUUCAACACUUAAAAUGCUGUUAUAGCAUGACCUUCUAUUUAAAUGAAUCUUUAGGCAUUUAUGUUUCUCAGUUAGUCAACUGUCAAAAAUGAGCUAGAAUGGAG